rnacentral:rRNA from 1 species
CGGUAAUACUAGCGGUCCAAGUCGCAGCCAUUUUUAUUGGGUCUAAAACAUCCGUAGCUUGUUUGAUAAGUUUCUUGUGAAAUUUUGCAUCUUAAAUGUAGAGCGCGCAAGAAAUACUGUCAAGCUAGAGACUGGAAGACGUGAGAAGUAUGUUCAAAGUAGCGGUAAAAUGUGUUAAUCUUGAGCAGACUAACAAUAGCGAAGGCAUCUCACGAGGACAGUUCUGACAGUAAGGGAUGAAGGCUAGGGGCGCAAAACGGAUUAGAUACCCGUGUAGUCCUAGCAGUAAACACUGCACACUAAACAUUAGUACCUCCUCGAGAGGUAUUGGUGCUGAAGGGAAGCCGAAGAGUGUGCUACCUGGGAAGUAUAGUCGCAAGGCCGAAACUUAAAGGAAUUGGCG